GUGAUGAAUAGCUCAGUUAGUAGAACAUGAGACCCUUAAUCUCAGGCUUGUGGGUUUGAGCCCCACAAAGAUUCCUGCA